rnacentral:rRNA from 1 species
UAUAAAAAUUUCCCGAAUUUUUUAAGAGCUAAAAGGUUAUGGAUUUUGAUGUGGAAUAAUUAUUUAUAAUAAGGUUUUUGGAGUGAGAUUUUAGUCGUUUUGAAAUAUAUCUGGUUUUUUAAGAAAUAAGUUUAAUUUACUUAAGUUGUAAAAUAUUUUUUUUAAAAAUUAAUUUUAGGAUUUAGGGAAUAUUUAUAGGGAUAAGCUUGUAAAUAUAAUUUUAUAGAUUAUUAAUAGAGAAAUAUUAAAUAGAAUUAGAAGUGUUCAUUUUUUGGAGUUUGUAAUAAAACAAAUUUUUUUUUUUAUGAUUUCUUUUUUUUUUAAAUUGUUUAUUAAAAUAAAUAAAUUAAUUGAUUAUUUAAUGAAAUAAUGAUUAAAUUAGUAUAUUUAAUGUGUAAUUAUGUGAACUUUAAAGUUAAGGUAAAGGAACUCGGCAAAUUUACUUUCUGCCUGUUUAUUAAAAACAUGGUUUUUUGGGAUAAUUUAAGAUCUGACCUGCCCAAUGAUUAAUUUAAUGGCCGCGGUAUAUUGACCGUGCAAAGGUAGCAUAAUCAUUAGUUUUUUAAUUGAAAGCUGGAAUGAAUGGUUUGACAAGAAAGUAGCUGUCUCUAUUUUAUUUUUAUUAGAAUUUUAUAUUUAAGUGAGAAAGCUUAAAUUUAGUUGAGGGACGAGAAGACCCUUUAGAAUUUUAUAUUACUUUUGGUUAAAAUUUAUAGAAUAUUUAAUUUUAAUUGAAAUGGAAUAUUUUGUUGGGGUGAUGGGAAAAUUUAAUAAACUUUUUUUUAUUUAAGUUCAUUAAUUUAUGAAUAUAUGAUCCAUUAUAUUAUGAUUGUAAGAUUAAAUUACCUAAGGGAUAACAGCGUUAUUAAUUUGGAGAGUUCAAAUCGAUGAAUUAGUUUGCGACCUCGAUGUUGGAUUAAAAUUAACAAUAGGUGUAGUAGCUUAUUAGUUAGGUCUGUUCGACUUUUAAAAUUU